GAUGAACGCUGGCGGCGUGCCUAAUACAUGCAAGUCGAGCGAAUGGAUUAAGAGCUUGCUCUUAUGAAGUUAGCGGCGGACGGGUGAGUAACACGUGGGUAACCUGCCCAUAAGACUGGGAUAACUCCGGGAAACCGGGGCUAAUACCGGAUAACAUUUUGAACCGCAUGGUUCGAAAUUGAAAGGCGGCUUCGGCUGUGACUUAUGGAUGGACCCGCGUCGCAUUAGCUAGUGGGUGAGGUAACGGCUCACCAAGGCAACGAUGCGUAGCCGACCUGAGAGGGUGAUCGGCCACACUGGGACUGAGACACGGCCCAGACUCCUACGGGAGGCAGCAGUAGGGAAUCUUCCGCAAUGGACGAGAGUCUGACGGAGCAACGCCGCGUGAGUGAUGAAGGCUUUCGGGUCGUAAAACUCUGUUGUUAGGGAAGAACAAGUGCUAGUUGAAUAAGCUGGCACCUUGACGGUACCUAACCAGAAAGCCACGGCUAACUACGUGCCAGCAGCCGCGGUAA
rnacentral:rRNA from 1 species